UACGUAGGGGGCAAGCGUUGUCCGGAAUCAUUGGGCGUAAAGCGCGUGUAGGCGGCUUGAUAAGUCUGCUCUGAAAGCCCGGGGCUCAACCCUGGGAGGCGGGUGGAUACUGUCGAGCUCGAGUCCGGAAGAGGCGAGUGGAAUUCCUGGUGUAGCGGUGAAAUGCGUAGAUAUCGGGAGGAACACCAGUGGCGAAGGCGAGUCUCUGGGAUGAUGCUGACGCUGAGGCGCGAAAGCCAGGGGAGCAAACGGG
rnacentral:rRNA from 1 species